rnacentral:lncRNA from 1 species
CUGUGUGUAUAUAUCCCUGUCUGUCCCAGUGUUCCUUGUUAGUUCGUCAUCUAAGUGUCACCCCUGUUGUUGGUUGCUCCUCGUGCUCCUCGUGUUUUCAGUUUUAUUUUGUAUUUUUGCUAGCUUUUUAUAAAAUAAAGUGCUCUUUUUGUUAGAACCUUGUCCAGUGUACUGCAUUUGGGUCCUCACCUUUUUCUCACCGUGACAGAUGACCUCUACAGUAUGAAAGACGUAUGCCAGGUGGCUACCACUUCAUCCACAAUCCGCUGUUAGCUCCAACGAGAAGAUCACAGGGUUUAUGGAUGACCGCCCCAGCUGCACCAGUGAAUCUAAGCUGGGUGUUCGGAAGAUUUUGUGGGUGGUGAUCGUCAAGAUCCGCGACACUUAAUCCAGUUUCAAGCUUCUUUUUCCGAUGUUGAUAACAUUGGAUGUAAAAUACUGUGUGUACGGCACUACUUUGUAUUGGAUGUCAAUUAACUGUAUUCAUCAUUAAUAUCAGUUACUGUGAUUUGUGACUUACUUCCCUGUGUUGUACGUUUUCAAAAAGUGCAGCUCUGUGUCUGUAGAGAACAGCUGACGUGCUCGUGAUGAAGCAUGAGUGUAUAUGAACAAGCACUUGCAGUUUUCCACAUGUUAACUGCUGUGUCAUAUUAGAUGGUUUCAAAGUGAAUCAUUAGAAUGAAUGAAUCAUGGAAAGAGAAAAAAGACAAAGAUACAAUCUGGUUCAUCUGCAUUUUUAUUUACAUGUUUUUUUAUCUGUAGAAUGCGUGUAUUUAACUGAUAACUGUCAUUUGGUUUAUUACAUCAUAUACAUUCAGUGAGCUGAAAAAUAGAAACAUCUUUACAGUGAAGAGCAAUUUAGUACAAGAGCCCUGUAGAUCCUGUCUUUGUGCAGCUUUUCAUUUCCAAUCAGUGUUGACACCCAUUUCCCACCACACUGUAAACUCUCCAACUUUCAAUUUCAAUUCAACUUUUAUCAUACAUUCCUGGCUUGAUUAAAGUAAUGUCAACUUAGUUGUUCUAAUUCUCGUAUUCAUUUCAGAACUUAUAAUCAUCAAUUUAUCCUUGUAACUUCACAGGAGGAACUGUAGGUCUGUAGAGAUUAGCUAGAAGUUAGGCGGAGUCGUCACUGCCAAGAUGGCUAUGGCAGAAAGCUCCCACAUUGAGCUUCACAACAGCCCUUUAGAAACCUGUGGGUGAUGGUAUUCAGAUGUUAUUGUAAAAACCUACAGUUCCAGGGCUGGGUAUUCUAUUCACGUCAAGCAG